ACCUGGCUGGCUCAGCUGGUAGAGCAUGUGACUCAUGAUCUCAGGGUUGUGAGUUCAAGCCCCACAUUGGGCU
rnacentral:tRNA from 1 species